CCCUCCAGAAUUUCCCUCUAGAUAGCUGAACACUUCGUGGGGUAAAACGAAUAGCUAGAGGCACUGGGGAGAAAACACCCUAUGUCUGUUCUCAAACUUUAAAUGGGUGUGAAAAUUAACUCGCCUGAAUAGAGUUUAGCAUUGAACACGAGUAUCAAGCUGACUAGUUUCGGUAAGUAGGAGUGCUGAUGAAGGAUGAACCAAAAGCGGGAUUAUGGUGUUUAACGUGACGUUCAUAAGAUACUAUAAUAGGUGUUGGUUGGUUCAGACGAAAAAAAGGUGGCUAUGGGAGUCGGAGUGUCUUACAACUCACCUGCCGAAUCAGUCAUCCCUGAAAAGGUUGGCACUUUAGCGUUGGACCUAUACCGUGACAUUGCUGCAAGCAGAUCGAGGCCAAACUGACUUAGUCCAGGAAUAGAGUAGCGUCAAGGAGUGAGAGGG
rnacentral:ncRNA from 1 species